rnacentral:lncRNA from 1 species
GAGAUUGGUCAUCCUGCUGGUGCUGUACAGUAUCAAAGAUUUAAAAAUGACAGAAAUCAUCUAAGAGAUUGCACGCUUACUUCAAUGUCGUCAUUAAUUUAUGUACUUGACAGACAUAAAAACUUUCAUUGUGUGACCCCCCAUUAAAAUAAUUAUUUUGAUGACAACCCCCCCAGCUGUGUGAUAUUUUUGGUAAUGACCCCCCC